rnacentral:rRNA from 1 species
CAGAGACCGCAAGCGUUAUUCGGAUUCACUGGGCGUAAAGGGUGCGCAGGCGGCCAAGUGUGUUAGGCGUGAAAGCCUGAGGCUUAACCUCAGAAUUGCACCUAAAACUACAUGGCUAGAGCAUUGGAGAGGGUAGCGGAAUUCACGGUGUAGCAGUGAAAUGCGUAGAUAUCGUGAGGAACACCAGAGGCGAAGGCGGCUACCUGGACAAUUGCUGACGCUCAGGCACGAAAGCGUGGGGAGCAAAAGGGAUUAGAUACCCCUGUAGUCCACGCCCUAAACGGUGCACACUAGGUCUUGGCGGAUUCGACCCCACCAGGGCCCAAGCUAACGCGUUAAGUGUGCCGCCUGAGGACUACGGUCGCAAGACUA